CUUUUUGGAAAUGUCAAGGUGACUGGCAUAUUAAAAAUGAGCCUUAGCAAACAAGGAUGACAUUCUUCUCAUUCUUUCACUGCUGGGUCAUUUUCUAUGUAAUUCUGGGAUUUAGUGCUUAGACAUCUCUCCCAGUGCACCCAUAAUCCUGCCCAGAAGGACCCUUUCCAAAGAAGAGGAUGAUGUACUAUAGUGAGCCUCAGCCUCUUUGAGUGUGGGAACCCCUUCUUAAUCGCCAAAGGUUCUGUGAACAUGACAAUAAUUAUACCAUGAGAAUGAAUGGAUGCUCAAGAAAAUGCAUAAUGGAAAAAAGCUACUGCAUUUACAAAGUACCCACCCUGUGCCAAGCUGUAUGAAUACAGAAACAAAAGCAAAAUAGUACUGAUCUCAGGACCUGACAGUAUCCUAAAGAAAAAUGAUUUGGACAUAACUUUGGGCAGGAGUCUACUACAAACUCAAAUGGAAAGCAAAAGGAAAAGUCAAAGUAACACUCAUGCUGUGGGUGGUAAGUUCAAAAUUCCUUCUUUUACAAGAGCCUGGUGUUCUUGAGACCUGGCCCAGUUAUUGUUCUUUUGUUUUCCAGAGGGAGACUGUUAUAUGCAAUAGUGAAUAGUCUGAUAUAUCAGAGUCAAAACUUGAAGUUCUCUAAAAUUGUGUGCUUUUCACAGUAUAUUCAUAUGCAUUAUUCUCUUUCAUUCUCCCAACAGCCUUUGGAGAAAGGAAAGGCAUGUAUUAUCAUUACCACUUGACAUAUGAAGAAACUGAGGCACAGAACCAUUAAAGAUACUUAUAGAAUAACCCAGAGGAAGUUAGUGGCAUAGCCCUUUUCUCCUUGAACAGCUUAUGGGUCAGUUCCUCCAUUAAAAUGUAUCAGAAUGACCUAAGAAGCAAAAG
rnacentral:lncRNA from 1 species